rnacentral:lncRNA from 1 species
UCGGUUUGGCUUUAUAAUAAUACAUCUGGCAUCAAUAGAGAUUCUUUCUUUUCAAAGUGCUUUCCUAUUUAUGAUCUCAUUUUGCCCUUGCAGGAGGAAGAAAGAGAGCUGGUUAGGAAGCAAACUUGAGUUUCCCGUGCUCUGUGGCUGAGCAAGUCACUUCACCAUUCUCAGGCUCCCAGGUAUCUGCCUCAUCCUAAGACUGGCUGCCUGAUGAUCACAGGGUGGCUGCCAGAAUGUUCUGAGAAUUACGUGCUUCCUCAUUUAUACCCGGGAUGAGAAAGCAGCUGUCCAAGGAGUUUUGUUCAUUCCUGCUUCACCUUCCACCAUGAUUAGAAGUUUCCCCAGGCCUUCCAAGGAGCACAUGCCAGCACUAUUUCCUGCACAGCAUGCAGAACCAUGAGCCAAUUAAACCUCUUUUCUGAUAAAUUACCCAGUCUGAAGUAUUUCUUCAUAGCAAUGCAAUAAUGGCCUAACACACCCCUCCUAGACUGGAUAAGGACUAUGUCACCUUGGGGUACCCAUC